CCCUUAGAUGUUCUGGGCCGCACGCGCGCUACACUGAUGCAUUCAACGAGCCUAGCCUUGACCGAGAGGUCCGGGUAAUCUUUGAAACUGCAUCGUGAUGGGGCUAGAUUAUUGCAAUUAUUAAUCUUCAACGAGGAAUGCCUAGUAAGCGUGAUUCAUCAAAUCGCGUUGAUUACGUCCCUGCCCUUUGUACACACCGCCCGUCGCUCCUACCGAUUGAGUGUGUUGGUGAGGAGUUCGGAUUGGCUCUUAGUGGUGGUUCGCCACCACCUAGAGCUGAGAAGUUCUCCAAACCGCCCCACUUAGAGGAAGGAGAAGUCGUANCA
rnacentral:rRNA from 1 species